rnacentral:tRNA from 1 species
GGGCCUGUAGCUCAGUGGUAGAGCGGGUGUCUUAUACACACCAUGUCGUAGGUUCGAAUCCUACCGGGCCCACCA